UUGCACGCUGGCGGCAGGCCUAACACCUGCAAGUCGAACGGUAACAGGAAGAAGCUUGCUUCUUUGCUGACGAGUGGCGGACGGGUGAGUAAUGUCUGGGAAACUGCCUGAUGGAGGGGGAUAACUACUGGAAACGGUAGCUAAUACCGCAUAACGUCGCAAGACCAAAGAGGGGGACCUUCGGGCCUUUUGCCAUCGGAUGUGCCCAGAUGGGAUUAGCUAGUAGGUGGGGUAACGGCUCACCUAGGCGACGAUCCCUAGCUGGUCUGAGAGGAUGACCAGCCACACUGGAACUGAGACACGGUCCAGACUCCUACGGGAGGCAGCAGUGGGGAAUAUUGCACAAUGGGCGCAAGCCUGAUGCAGCCAUGCCGCGUGUAUGAAGAAGGCCUUCGGGUUGUAAAGUACUUUCAGCGGGGAGGAAGGGAGUAAAGUUAAUACCUUUGCUCAUUGACGUUACCCGCAGAAGAAGCACCGGCUAACUCCGUG
rnacentral:rRNA from 1 species